GCGGCGGUAGCUCAAUGGGUAGAGCAAUCAAAUUCCUUAUUCAUACCUUGCUUUGCGAAGCCGAAGAAUGAGGGUUAUCGGCUGUUAACCGAAAGGCUGGAGGUUCGAGUCCUUCCCGCCGCA
rnacentral:tRNA from 2 species